AGUCGCCUCGGGGAGGAGCCGCGGCUGGCCCUGCUCACUCCUGGACGCAUUUCAAAUCAACUUUCCGAAACACGCCGCCCGAGCCGGAGCCGGAGCCCUGCGGCGCGCAGCCGUCCUUACCUGCUUACAGCGGUCGGACCUCGAGCCCCUCCAGGAGCGCGACGCGGGUCUUAAUCAUCUGUGUAGUCCAGGAGCAACCCUAUGAGGUGGAGACAAUGAUUAUCCUGAUAUUACAGGUGAGGAAAACCGAGUGAG